AUUGAACGCUGGCGGCAGGCCUAACACAUGCAAGUCGAGCAGAUGAAGGGAGCUUGCUCCUGGAUUCAGCGGCGGACGGGUGAGUAAUGCCUAGGAAUCUGCCUGGUAGUGGGGGAUAACGUCCGGAAACGGGCGCUAAUACCGCAUACGUCCUGAGGGAGAAAGUGGGGGAUCUUCGGACCUCACGCUAUCAGAUGAGCCUAGGUCGGAUUAGCUAGUUGGUGGGGUAAAGGCCUACCAAGGCGACGAUCCGUAACUGGUCUGAGAGGAUGAUCAGUCACACUGGAACUGAGACACGGUCCAGACUCCUACGGGAGGCAGCAGUGGGGAAUAUUGGACAAUGGGCGAAAGCCUGAUCCGGCCAUGCCGCGUGUGUGAAGAAGGUCUUCGGAUUGUAAAGCACUUUAAGUUGGGAGGAAGGGCAGUAAGUUAAUACCUUGCUGUUUUGACGUUACCAACAGAAUAAGCACCGGCUAACUUCGUG
rnacentral:rRNA from 1 species